CCCAGAUGAUACAAUACAGGUAAGUGUCGUUUGAAGGUGGAUGUCGGAGUCCUGAUGACGGGAAGAGAUGGACCAGUGGAUUUCCCUUCCCAGAACCUUCUCACCAACCUUCCUGGUCAUGAGGACUGUUUCCCCUUCAGUGGGGACCCAGAGCAGCUGAUCCCCAUGGAGAUGAGGAAUCCAGAGCUGAGCUUCCAUCUCUAAGGGGAAGCUUCUCAGUGUGGC